rnacentral:rRNA from 1 species
UACGGAGGAUCCAAGCGUUGUCCGGAUUUAUUGGGUUUAAAGGGUGCGUAGGUGGCUUAUUAAGUCAGGGGUGAAAGACGGUAGCUUAACUAUCGCAGUGCCUUUGAUACUGAUGAGCUUGAAUGAACUAGAGGUAGGCGGAAUGUGACAAGUAGCGGUGAAAUGCAUAGAUAUGUCACAGAACACCAAUUGCGAAGGCAGCUUACUAUGGUUAGAUUGACACUGAGGCACGAAAGCGUGGGGAUCAAACAGG